rnacentral:rRNA from 1 species
AGUGGACGCUGGCGGUAGGCCUAACACAUGCCAGUCGAACGGCAGCACAGUAAGAGCUUGCUCUUACGGGUGGCGAGUGGCGGACGGGUGAGGAAUACAUCGGAAUCUACUUUUUCGUGGGGGAUAACGUAGGGAAACUUACGCUAAUACCGCAUACGACCUACGGGUGAAAGCAGGGGAUCUUCGGACCUUGCGCGAUUGAAUGAGCCGAUGUCGGAUUAGCUAGUUGGCGGGGUAAAGGCCCACCAAGGCGACGAUCCGUAGCUGGUCUGAGAGGAUGAUCAGCCACACUGGAACUGAGACACGGUCCAGACUCCUACGGGAGGCAGCAGUGGGGAAUAUUGGACAAUGGGCGCAAGCCUGAUCCAGCCAUACCGCGUGGGUGAAGAAGGCCUUCGGGUUGUAAAGCCCUUUUGUUGGGAAAGAAAAGCAGCAGGUUAAUACCCCGCUGUUCUGACGGUACCCAAAGAAUAAGCACCGGCUAACUUCGUG